rnacentral:rRNA from 1 species
UACAGAGGGUGCGAGCGUUAAUCGGAAUUACUGGGCGUAAAGCGUGCGUAGACGGUUAUUUAAGUCGGAUGUGAAAGCCCCGGGCUCAACCUGGGAAUUGCAUUCGAGACUGAAUAGCUAGGGUGCGGUAGAGGGAAGCGGAAUUUCCGGUGUAGCGGUGGAAUGCGUAGAGAUCCGGAAGAACACCGGUGGCGAAGGCGGCCUGCUGGGCAGUAGCUGACGCUGAAGCGCGACAGCGUGGGGAGCAAACAGG